GAUGAACGCUGGCGGCGUGCCUAAUACAUGCAAGUCGAGCGAAUGGAUUAAGAGCUUGCUCUUAUGAAGUUAGCGGCGGACGGGUGAGUAACACGUGGGUAACCUGCCCAUAAGACUGGGAUAACUCCGGGAAACCGGGGCUAAUACCGGAUAACAUUUUGAACCGCAUGGUUCGAAAUUGAAAGGCGGCUUCGGCUGUCACUUAUGGAUGGACCCGCGUCGCAUUAGCUAGUUGGGUAGGUAACGGCUCACCAAGGCAACGAUGCGUAGCCGACCUGAGAGUGUGAUCGGACACACUGGGACUGAGAACCGGCCCCGACUCCUACGGGAGGCAGAAGUAGGGAAUCUUCCGCAAUGGACGAAAGUCUGACGGAGCAACGCCGCGUGAGUGAUGAAGGCUUUCGGGUCGUAAAACUCUGUUGUUAGGGAAGAACAAGUGCUAGUUGAAUAAGCUGACACCUUGACGGUACCUAACCAGAAAGCUACGGCUAACUACGUGCCAGCAGCCGCAGUAA
rnacentral:rRNA from 1 species